CUGGAUAUGAUGCAUAACACAUUAACUGUGAUGGUCAGUGAUGCCUGUUGUAUUCAUACUGUCUGAUCCAG
ensembl:snoRNA